rnacentral:rRNA from 1 species
UACGGAGGGUGCAAGCGUUAUCCGGAUUCACUGGGUUUAAAGGGUGCGUAGGCGGAUAGAUAAGUCAGUGGUGAAAUCUCCGAGCUUAACUCGGAAACUGCCGUUGAUACUAUUUGUCUUGAAUAUUGUGGAGGUAAGCGGAAUAUGUCAUGUAGCGGUGAAAUGCUUAGAUAUGACAUAGAACACCAAUUGCGAAGGCAGCUUACUACACAAUCAUUGACGCUGAUGCACGAAAGCGUGGGGAUCAAACAGG